GUAUUGAUUGCGUUUUAUUGCAAAAAUGAGGUCAUUCUACACUUUUUUAAAAAGGGGUUUGUGGUGAAAACGCAAGCCCCCUUCCUGGAUCGAAUCGAUCCCGAAGGGUGCCCACGCGGUGGUGCACAAGAGGGUGAGAUGGAUUUUAUGUGAGAGGACGCACUCCGGCGUGCACGACUUUUGUGUCUCAAAAAGUCAGCGACAGCCCUCGCACGCCUCACACAUGUUUGUACGAUAAUGAUCCUUCCGCAGGUUCACCUACGGAAA
rnacentral:misc_RNA from 1 species